CCUACGGGGCGCAGCAGUGGGGAAUAUUGGACAAUGGGCGAAAGCCUGAUCCAGCCAUGCCGCGUGUGUGAAGAAGGCCUUCGGGUUGUAAAGCACUUUCAGUGGGGAAGAAAGCCUUGGGGCUAAUACCCUCGAGGAAGGACAUCACCCACAGAAGAAGCACCGGCUAACUCCGUGCCAGCAGCCGCGGUAAUACGGAGGGUGCGAGCGUUAAUCGGAAUUACUGGGCGUAAAGCGCGCGUAGGCGGUCUGAUAAGCCGGUUGUGAAAGCCCCGGGCUCAACCUGGGAACGGCAUCCGGAACUGUCAGGCUAGAGUGCAGGAGAGGAAGGUAGAAUUCCCGGUGUAGCGGUGAAAUGCGUAGAGAUCGGGAGGAAUACCAGUGGCGAAGGCGGCCUUCUGGACUGACACUGACGCUGAGGUGCGAAAGCGUGGGUAGCAAACAGGAUUAGAUACCCCAGUAUC
rnacentral:rRNA from 1 species